AUGAUGCAUAGCCGAGUUGAGAGACUGAUCGGCCACAUUGGGACUGAGACACGGCCCAAACUACCUACGGGAGGCAGCAGUAGGGAAUCUUCCACAAUGGACGCAAGUCUGAUGGAGCAACGCCGCGUGAGUGAAGAAGGUUUUCGGAUCGUAAAGCUCUGUUGUUGGUGAAGAAGGAUAGAGGUAGUAACUGGCCUUUAUUUGACGGUAAUCAACCAGAAAGUCACGGGCUAACUACGUGCCAGCAGCCGCGGUAAAU
rnacentral:rRNA from 1 species